rnacentral:lncRNA from 1 species
AGGAGAAUAUGGCACCGUAGAGAACGACGAGGUGACGUCACAAUUUCUUUUCUUUGAGUUUCUUUAAUGUUGUUGAUCUUGAUUUUUUCGUUGUUAUUUAAAUUGUUAUAGUAUGCUGUAUUAAUAUGAUAUGGUGAAAAAUAAUUACUCUAGACCAGUGAAUGUGUGUAUCACCAUGUCUACAAAAAGAGGAAGAUGUGAAGAAGAUGAACUCGCCGACUAUACUAUAUGUAGUGAAAGAAAAUUAUAGUCUAGUACGAUUCUUAUAUUUUUGUACCAUUCGAAAGUACCAAACUAAAUAGUAUGCUACGGUUCUUGUAUUAUUGUACCAUCGAUUGUUUGAUAAAUUCAUUAUUUAUCAAUUUCUAGUUUACAACUAUAUGUACUAUACUAUGUAUUUUGUUCUAUACUAUUUGGGUUUAGAGUUUAGUAAUUAAGAUUUAAGGCUUAGUAUUUGGAAGGCGAGGGUUGAGGUUUGGGUUAAGUGACCGUAUUAUGUAUGUUCCUGUUGACGAUUAAUAAAGAGUGUUCUAUUUUACUCACCAAUUUGUAUUAUACUAUGUAUUUUCUUCCAUUAUAUUGGGUUUAGAGUAUAUACUUGGGUUUAGGAUUUUGUGAUUAGGAUUUAGGGUUUAGUAUUUGGAAGGUGGGAGUUUAGGUUUGGGUUUAGUGAUAGCAUUUUUGGCUUUAAUAUUCAAAAGUAGGUCUGAGUUUAGCAUUGAGGGGUUGUGUGUUGGAUUGGAGUCCUAUAUUAUUCAAAAAUUAGGUUUGGAUUUAGUUUAAUAUUACAUAAUAUUUAUACUAUUUUCAGAUUUUGAUAAUUGGGUUUAAGGUUUAUAUUUAGGUUUAGGGUUCAGUAAUUAGGGUUUAGUAUUUAGAUGGAAGGGUGAUGUUUAAAGUUUAGGGUUUAGUAUUUAAGAGUUGAGGUUUGGAGUAAAGUUUAGCAUUUACUAGAUGUGAAUGGAUUUUGAAUCCUAUUAUAUUUUAGUGAUAUGAUAUAAAAAAAUCAGAUGCAUAUUUAUGUGUUAAACAAAAGUGUGGCGUUGGUUGUAUUACAUGUGAUAAUUAAUUGUGGAGUGUCAAAUUGUUGAUGUCAUCAAUUUUCUCUUUAUAUUACUGGCAACUUAAACAAAAAUGGGUAGUACCGGAUAAAACUUGACAUAAUUAUUAUGAACUUA